GCUGUAAUUACGACCUCUACGAGGACGUGAACGCAUUUUACAAGCUAGAAUCUCGUAACUACAGGAAUUACGAGGCCGCGUGAACGCACCUUAAAACCGCUUUAUGGAGAAAGUAGGAAAACAAAAAUUCUCCCAGAUCUCCUCAAAGUUUUCAAGAAGUGAUUUCAACAUAAAAACAAACAACUAAUGAAAUUAAAGUAGAUGUUACCGAAACGUUCCGUUUCCGCACACCCCACAUUUGAGCGAAGUUGACAACACGGAGAUCGCAGAUAAAUAACGCUUUAUUGAAGAGUACACGAAUUGUUCAUUUGGCUUAUUUAUCGGGUCUCUGACUGGGAUUUCCCGUUAGAGAUUUCAACUCGUUCACUUGCCUGGAAUCUCCGUUCACGACCACGAUCGCUCGCGUUCAAGAUGGCGAGGCUUCUUGCUCGAGGAAGACAGAAACACCGGAACGGAUUACUGCAGGAAUCAGCGGAAUGAUUCCCCUCACGAAGACGUUUGGUGUCUGAACCGGCGUUCAAGUGGCCUAGCCUCAACAUCUGCAAGGUCUUUUUCCCAGCUUCCCUCACCUCAUCUCCCCUGGCACAUAAUAACAGCUUCAUUGCUGGUUUGCAGCAGCCUCUGGAUUGUGUCUCUGUGAUUUGCAAGUCUCUGGGGGCCUAAACCCUAGACUUCCUUUUGACCUCCUUUCCUCUACCCCUUUAAAACUGCCCCGCCCAUGAUCCCCAGAAUCCAUCUACUAAGACUGUCAGACCUAAAGACCCAGCCAAAACAAGCGGCCUCUGUGUCAGAGUCCCAAGUUUUCUUCCUGUGAGUACUUACGCCCAGAUGCACAAUAUGAGCCUAUGUGCUCCACAUCUGUAUAAUGACACACAUGGCGAUCUGUUAUUCUUCCCCAUAAUGACCAGGACCUCAGAUUAGACCUCUAAACAUCAGCUACCUCCUUAAAAGGCAUUUAUUUUCCCUUUAGUCUAGCCGCCACACUGAAUUUCAACACUGAGGAUAUAUUGUUUGCUUUAGGCUUUUACUUCGGGAGUUUUUGCUUUUUUUGUAAUGUCACCAUGCUAUCGCGCGUAUACAUGUUGUCUUAGUAUGCUUGGGAAACUAAACGCAGCUGUCUAGUCUAUGAGUGACAGAGAUUCUUUGUGAACCGGAGGUAUGUGGACACCGGUGGAAUGUGAGAUCUUCAUCUAAACCAAACCAAUUACAAAAUAGCAAAGAAGUUUGAGUGUCGUUAGUGGAAUAUGUUUUAAACAAUAUUCAUGUAAUACAUUUUAAAUGGCAUCAAAGUAAACAACAGCACAGUUUCAUCAUCUCCAGGAUUUUAAUAGUACUGGUCCAAUUGGGUCAGUGGUUUUGGUUUUUACUUGCUCUGUAAACAUUUUCAAACCCCAUCACAAAUUGUAUAUGUGUUAUUUUUUAUCAUAUCAUUUGUAUAUGUGUUUAUUUUUUUAUCAUUUUUUUCUUUAUAAUCAUGAC